rnacentral:rRNA from 1 species
AUUGAACGCUGGCGGCAGGCCUAACACAUGCAAGUCGAACGGGUGGCGGACGGGUGAGUAAUGUCUGGGAAACUGCCCGAUGGAGGGUGAUAACUACUGGAAACGGUAGCUAAUACCGCAUACCAUCGGAUGUGCCCAGAUGGGAUUACCUAGUAGGUGGGGUAAUGGCUCACCUAGGCGACGAUCCCUAGCUGGUCUGAGAGGAUGACGAGCCAAACUGGAACUGAGACACGGUCCAGAGUCCUACUAUGAUCAACAGUAAAUAAUAUUGCACAAUGGGCGCAAGCCUGAUUCAGCCAUGCCGCGUGUAUGAAGAGGGCCUUCGGGUUGUAAAGUACUUUCAGCGGGGAGGCGUUACCCGCAGAAGAAGCACCGGCUAACUCCGUGCCAGAAGCCGCGGUAAUAC